GAUGAGCAUGCGUCCCAUUAGCUAGUUGGUAAGGUAACGGCUUACCAAGGCAACGAUGGGUAGGGGUCCUGAGAGGGAGAUCCCCCACACUGGUACUGAGACACGGACCAGACUCCUACGGGAGGCAGCAGUGAGGAAUAUUGGUCAAUGGGCGCAAGCCUGAACCAGCCAUGCCGCGUGCAGGAUGACGGUCCUAUGGAUUGUAAACUGCUUUUGUACAGGAAGAAACAGUUCUACGUGUAGAACCUUGACGGUACUGUAAGAAUAAGGAUCGGCUAACUCCGUGCCAGCAGCCGCGGUAAUACGGAGGAUCCAAGCGUUAUCCGGAAUCAUUGGGUUUAAAGGGUCCGUAGGCGGUUUUGUAAGUCAGUGGUGAAAGCCCAUCGCUCAACGGUGGAACGGCCAUUGAUACUGCAAGACUUGAAUUAUUGGGAAGCAACUAGAAUAUGUAGUGUAGCGGUGAAAUGCUUAGAGAUUACAUGGAAUACCAAUUGCGAAGGCAGGUUGCUACCAAUAUAUU
rnacentral:rRNA from 1 species